rnacentral:rRNA from 1 species
AACGAACGCUGGCGGCAUGCCUAACACAUGCAAGUCGAACGAGACCUUCGGGUCUAGUGGCGCACGGGUGCGUAACGCGUGGGAACCUGCCCUUAGGUUCGGAAUAACUCCCCGAAAGGGGUGCUAAUACCGGAUAAUGUCUUCGGACCAAAGAUUUAUCGCCUUUGGAUGGGCCCGCGUUGGAUUAGCUUGUUGGUAGGGUAAAAGCCUACCAAGGCGACGAUCCAUAGCUGGUCUGAGAGGAUGAUCAGCCACACUGGGACUGAGACACGGCCCAGUCUCCGACGGGAGGCAGCAGUGGGGAAUAUUGGAAAAUGGGCGAAAGCCUGAUCCAGCAAUGCCGCGGUAGUGAUGAAGGCCUUAGGGUUGUAAAGCUCUUUUACUCGGGAUGAUAAUGACAGUACCGGGAGAAUAAGCUCCGGCUAACUCCGU